UCUGGUUGGAGGAGGAAAGAACUACAGUUGGCCAUGGCUAUGUCAUUAUCUCACCAGAUGAGUGAGGAGAAGGCAGCAGAAUGGUAAAAUAAUAUUGAAAAAAAAUACCAAAAAUUAUAGAAAUAAAGCAAAUAUCAAAUAUUUGAUGACGUGGGGCAUACCUCAGAAGUUGCCAACUAGGAUUAUCAGAAAGAUGGAGUAGUUGCACCAAUCUAAAUAUUCUUUGGUGAACUAGAAACCUAUUCUAUUUUUUCUUUUCUUUUCUUUUUUACGUGUUAUUGUGGGAAGUGCUCUUCUAAUGCCAAGUCUCGAUUUUUUGUCAUAAUGAAUUUAGAGCUUGGAAGUUUACGUAAACCUGAAUCUAGAUCAGAUUAAACAUUCUCAAAGAAUAUCACCGAACUGUUAUGUUUACCACAUGCAUUGAUCCACUAAGACCAAUAAAGUUCAGUCAGAUUGAUGA